rnacentral:rRNA from 1 species
UACAGAGGUCUCAAGCGUUGUUCUGAUUCAUUGGGCGUAAAGGGUGCGUAGGCGGCGCGGUAAGUCGGGUGUGAAAUCUCGGAGCUUAACUCCGAAACUGCAUUCGAUACUGCCGUGCUUGAGGACUGGAGAGGAGACUGGAAUUUACGGUGUAGCGGUGAAAUGCGUAGAUAUCGUAAGGAAGACCAGUGGCGAAGGCGGGUCUCUGGACAGUUCCUGACGCUGAGGCACGAAGGUCAGGGGAGCAAACGGG